AUAAGAUUAAGUUAUUUAGACUGAGUAUUUUCAAAAUAUUUAGAGAUUUGUAAGGGUCAUCUUAUG
rnacentral:tRNA from 1 species